UACGGAGGGUGCAAGCGUUACUCGGAAUUACUGGGCGUAAAGCGCACGUAGGUGGUUUGCUAAGCCAGCUGUGAAAUCCCCGGGCUCAACCUGGGCACUGCAGUUGGAACUGGCAAGCUAGAGUAGGGUAGAGGGGUGUGGAAUUCCAGGUGUAGCGGUGAAAUGCGUAGAUAUCUGGAGGAACAUCAGUGGCGAAGGCGACACCCUGGACUCAUACUGACACUGAGGUGCGAAAGCGUGGGGAGCAAACAGG
rnacentral:rRNA from 1 species